rnacentral:rRNA from 1 species
CAGUCGCCACGGUAAUACGAAGGGGGCUAGCGUUGCUCGGAGUCACUGGGCGUAAAGGGCGCGUAGGCGGAUCUUUAAGUCAGAGGUGAAAGCCCAAGGCUCAACCUUGGAAUUGCCUCUGAUACUGGGGAUCCCGAGGCCGGUAGAGGUAAGUGGAACUGCGAGUGUAGAGGUGAAAUUCGUAGAUAUUCGCAAGAACACCAGUGGCGAAGGCGGCUUACUGGACCGGUUCUGACGCUGAGGCGCGAAAGCGUGGGGAGCAAACAGGAUUAGAUACCCCGUAGUCCCUGUCUCUUAUACA